rnacentral:tRNA from 1 species
GUUUUAAUAGUUUAAGUAAAACAUUGGUUUUGUAUACCUAAAAUAAGAUUUUUUUUCUUUUAAAACU